rnacentral:lncRNA from 1 species
UGGGUGUGCCGUGGGGCAGGGAGUGAGGCGAGAGGCUGGCCAGGGGGUGCUGAGGGUGCCGUGGGGCAGGGAGUGGGGCGAGGGGCUGGCCAGGGGGUGCUGAGGGUGCCGUGGGGCAGGGAGUGGGGCAAGGGGUUGGCCGGGGGAUUGGGUGGUGCCGUGGGGCAGGGAGAUAUUCUGUGAGGUUUUCUCCCCCGAGGGCGCCGCCCACUAACCUGUCAGCGCGGCCCCGGGGCCCGGAGAUGGAGCAAGGGGCUCCAUGGGACCCCCGAGCCCCCCAGGUCGUCGCCAGCCGGUUACUGGUCCCAGUGGCCGGUUACUGGUCCCGCGUGGCUGGACCCUGGCCGGUUACUGGUCCCAGUGGCCGGUUACUGGUCCCCCGUGGCUGGUCCCUGGCCAGUUACUGGUUCCAGUGGCUGGUUACUGGUCCCGCGUGGCUGGUCCCUGGCCGGUUACUGGUCCCAGUGGCCGGUUACUGGUCCCCCGUGGCUGGACCCUGGCCGGUCACUGGUCCCAGUGGCUGGACCCUGGCUGGUCACUGGUCCCAGUGGCUGGUUACUGGUCCCCCGUGGCUGGUUACUGGUCCCCCGUGGCUGGUCCCUGGCCGGUUACUGGUCCCCCGUGGCUGGUCCCUGGCCGGUUACUGGUUCCAGUGGCCGAUUACUGGUCCCCCAUGGCUGGUCUCUGGCCGGUUACUGGUCCCAGUGUCCAGUUACUGGUCCCAGUGGCUGGUCCCUGGCUGGUUACUGGUCCCAGUGGCUGGUCUCUGGCCGGUUACUGGUCCCCAGUGGCUGGUCCCUGGCCGGUUACUGGUCCCAGUGGCUGGUCCCUGGCCGGUUACUGGUCCCAGUGGCUGGUCCCUGGCCGGUUACUGGUCCCAGUGGCUGGUCCCUGGCUGGUUACUGGUCCCAGUGGCUGGUCUCUGGCCGGUUACUGGUCCCCAGUGGCUGGUCUCUGGCCGGUUACUGGUCCCCAGCGGCUGGUCCCUGGCCGGUUACUGGUCCCCAGUGGCUGGUCCCUGGCCGGUUACUGGUCCCAGUGGCUGGUCUCUGGCCGGUUACUGGUCCCCAGUGGCUGGUCUCUGGCCGGUUACUGGUCCCCAGUGGCUGAUCCUUGGCUGGUUACUGGUCCCAGCGGCUGGUCCCUGGCCGGUUCUCAGCUCCGCGCCGAGCGGCCCCCCCAGGUGGCCGAGCUCCGCCGCAUGCGCCUGCCGGGAAAGUCCCGGGUCCCG